GCACCAUACUCCGUCCGCUAGCCCCUUUCUCCUUUUCUCUCUCCCACGCGCACACGGAGACUCGCCAGAGGGAGAAAAACACUUAUGUCGAACCUUGAACUAGAAGAGGAUUAGGAGGAGUCUCAGAGCUCUGGCAAAAGGCUAAAAUUCACAAACCAGCUGAAGAAGAUGAAGAGGAACUGGAAGAACAAGGGCGAAACGAGCUUCCGUUCCAGGCAGGACUCUUCUUCCACCCAACUACGC
rnacentral:misc_RNA from 1 species